GUGUUUACUUCAGCAGCAUAUACACUCAAAUUAAAAUGAUGCAGAUCAGAUUAGCAUGGACCCUGUGCAAAGAUGGCAUGCAAGUCUAUGAAGUGUCCUGUAUAUUU